UGACGUGUCGAGUGCGCGCAAAACUGACGUCUCUCAGAGUGGAUCGUUAUACCUUAGACGCCAGCUGCGAGUUUUUCUGAGUGUUGAUUGUCAUCUGAUUGUGAGCUAACUACAGCCCAAAGGCUCUUUUAAGAGCCACAAGCACUGAGGAUCUUUGGCUUUAUUCUUUGUCAGGAUCAAUCCUGAAGAGGGCACAAAGUGCACUGCAAAUUCGGUACAAGCCGUAAGACAGGUGGAACUGUACAAAGAAAAGUUGCAACCAUCAAC